AGCGAACGCUGGCGGCAGGCCUAACACAUGCAAGUCGAACGAACUCUUCGGAGUUAGUGGCGGACGGGUGAGUAACACGUGGGAACGUGCCUUUUGGUUCGGAAUAACCCAGGGAAACUUGUGCUAAUACCGAAUGUGCCCUUCGGGGGAAAGAUUUAUCGCCAUUAGAGCGGCCCGCGUCUGAUUAGCUAGUUGGUGAGGUAAAAGCUCACCAAGGCGACGAUCAGUAGCUGGUCUGAGAGGAUGACCAGCCACACUGGGACUGAGACACGGCCCAGACUCCUACGGGAGGCAGCAGUGGGGAAUCUUGCGCAAUGGGCGAAAGCCUGACGCAGCCAUGCCGCGUGAAUGAUGAAGGUCUUAGGAUUGUAAAAUUCUUUCACCGGGGACGAUAAUGACGGUACCCGGAGAAGAAGCCCCGGCUAACUUCGUGCAGCAGCCGCCGUAA
rnacentral:rRNA from 1 species